rnacentral:rRNA from 1 species
UACGUAGGUGGCAAGCGUUGUCCGGAUUUACUGGGCGUAAAGGGCGUGUAGGCGGUCUGUUAAGUCUAGGGUGAAAGCUCCCGGCUCAACUGGGAGAGGUCCUUGGAUACUGGCGGACUUGAGGGAGGCAGAGGAAAGUGGAAUUCCCGGUGUAGUGGUGAUAUGCGUAGAUAUCGGGAGGAACACCAGUGGCGAAGGCGGCUUUCUGGGCCUUACCUGACGCUGAGACGCGAAAGCGUGGGGAGCAAACAGG